rnacentral:rRNA from 1 species
CAAUAGCGUAUAUUUAAGUUGUUGCAGUUAAAAAGCUCGUAGUUGGAUUUCGGGUGGGACGCAGCGGUCUCGCAUUGCGUUUGUACUGCUGCAGCCCUCCUUCUUGCCGGGGGCGGCCUCUCGGAUUUCACUGUCUGGGGGUCAGAAUCGGCGAUGUUACUUUGAGUAAAUUAGAGUGUUCAAAGCAAGCUUACGCUCUGAAUAUAAUAGCAUGGGAUAACACGACAGGACUCUGGCCUAUCGUGUUGGUCUAUAGGACCAGAGUAAUGAUUAAGAGGGACAGUCGGGGGCAUUCGUAUUCCGUUGUCAGAGGUGAAAUUCUUGGAUUUACGGAAGACGAACAUCUGCGAAAGCAUUUGCCAAGGAUGUUUUCAUUGA